rnacentral:tRNA from 1 species
GGCUGCGUGGUGUAGUUGGUAUCGUAUUGGCCUAGAAUGCCGAAGACGCUGGUUCGAAUCCAGCCGGUGCCC